CACCCACCUUUAGAGAUGAGACACAAGCAGGAGAAGAGGGAUUAAACCUGCUAGUUUUGGAAAAAAAAAAAAAAAGGAAAGAAAAGAAAAGAAAGAAAGAAAAACAAAAAACAACAACAAACAGAAAAAUGCAAAACUGCAGAACACGCAGUGGAGCUGGACUCCCUCCCUAUUCCACCAGACCAGUGCCCAAAGUUGGAGAAUAACUAGAAACCAGGCUUCAGAUGUCUUGGGUACCAGUUAUAAAGAUUCAGAAUCAGCAACUGAGGAUUCACUGCAAUUGUUCCUUGAGAAGAUGAGGAUCAGGUCGGGAAUUGGAAACAUCUGAGGGCUCAAUUCAACCUGGCUUCUAAAACGAACAUGGUGAACAUAGAUCAACUACUGAACUUCUUUUAACCUCUGGCAUCCUAUCUGUGAAUUGUGGGGAGGAAACAGGGUCCACCCGCUGCUGCACAAGAGGGGUGUGUGCAGACCGUCACCUUGUGUCUGCUGUAGCAGGAGACCCCUGGCCAUGCGGGACUGAACCCAUGAUUGCAGCUGAUCUUACUCUGUCUCUUCUCUGUGUGAGUAAAGUGUUGUUCCAUCUAGUGCCUGUGUGAGUCGUGUCUUUCGUGGCGACACCUAUAAACCAUGGAGUGGGCUGACAUCCUGGUUCUGCUGCUCCUGGUGGCGGGCAUUGUUGUGCUGUUUGCCGUCCUCUACACAGUGCGAAUCUUCUCUACCCUGCCCGAGUCUCGGCAUCUCCACAUGUGCCAUGAGGAUGGUAAUGCUUUACAGAACUGAAGACUCACAUCAAAAUGCUGCCUGCUUCCAUGAGGCUUGUAGUGACAUCCAUGUACAAGUUCAAAGACCCUCUGAGCCAAUUUCCACUUCUCUGCAUGUCUCUGGGGACCUAGGGGACCAGGAUUACUAUAAAAGCAGAGCACAAGAAGGCUGACCUUGAACUCCUCAAGAUGCUUGCUCCUGGGAUUCUCCAGCUGCAAUCAGCAUCCCCCACCCCCACUUGCCUGCGGUUGCUACAUGGGUCAGACAGCAAGGACCACAGGGGCACUAAGUUUGCUGCUGACUCUUGACCUCAGAUGGGCUAUUUGGCCAAGGGCCCAGCUCUCCCUCCAAUGUAGAGGAGGCAGGGAGGCAGGAGCCAGCAAGAAGUUCCUCCAGGCAAAGGGAAAGUGGCAAAGAUACUCAAGAGCUCACAGGUACCUAGCACACAUUGCCCAUGGGCACACAUAUCACUCUGCAAACUAUACACGAAACCCCUGAAAUUCAGGAGUACACAAGCCCCCACAAAAUGUAGGACCACAUGCUUCAAUAUUCACUUUCCAACAUAUUCAGAUCCACAGAAACACAAAUAGCCCCGCGUAAUGUGCAUACAAACACAUCUAUAUCAUGCUGCAACAUGCCCACACUUACACGUUUCCCCCAAAACAGCAUGAAAUCAAUCUGGGCACCUCACUUCUAUGGAAAACUUGCUCUCUGAAGUGUGAACAUUUGUGCACACACACAAAUACACCUACCCUGUAGGUCCAAAUGCCUGGGCAGCAUGCCAGGAAUGGCACCCCUGGGCCUUGCCAGUCAUGGCAG
rnacentral:lncRNA from 1 species